CGCUUUCAACCCAAUGACAAUCUUCAAUGGUUGAGCUAAGACCACCCAACUAUGAAUUAUUCAUGAUCCAGUUCUCAGGGGCUCCGCAUCCAAAGCUUCAGACGGAAAGCUUUUAGCUGCUGCAAGUCACAGCUGGCAUGGAGAUGUUAUGACCUGGUGGAUGGAAGGUGCCGCUGGCAGUCAUGCCCAUCGGGGACCCGACGGCCGGCACACCUCUGCGGAUGUGGAACAGGUCAAUAUACUUUUGGUUAUAGAGUUACUGCCAUGCAGUGUUAUGUUUAGAGUGGCACGCUAUAGUGCUAUUUAUUAUUGUUAAUAAAAUUGGAGCUGUGACCACCACCUCAGCCCACUAAGA